AGGUGUGAUCAUACCAGCACUAAUGCACCCGAUCCCAUCAGAACUCCGCAGUUAAGCGUGCUUGAGCAAGAGUAGUACUAGGAUGGGUGACACAUAUUUAUGAUAUGAUUUGGGUGUACUUG
rnacentral:rRNA from 2 species